UACAGAGGGUGCGAGCGUUAAUCGGAAUUACUGGGCGUAAAGAGCGCGUAGGCGGUCGUGUAAGUCAGAUGUGAAAGACCUUGGCUCAACCAGGGAACUGCAUUUGAUACUGCAUAACUAGAGUAUGGUAGAGGAAAGUGGAAUUUCCGGUGUAGCGGUGAAAUGCGUAGAUACCGGAAGGAACACCAGUGGCGAAGGCGACUUUCUGGACCAAUACUGACGCUGAGGCGCGAAAGCGUGGGGAGCAAACAGG
rnacentral:rRNA from 1 species